UACGGAGGGGACUAGCGUUGUUCGGAAUUACUGGGCGUAAAGCGCACGUAGGCGGAUUUGUAAGUCAGACGUGAAAUCCCUCGGCUUAACCGGGGAACUGCGUCUGAUACUGGAUGGCUAGAGGUUGGGAGAGGGAUGCGGAAUUCCAGGUGUAGCGGUGAAAUGCGUAGAUAUCUGGAGGAACACCGGUGGCGAAGGCGGCAUCCUGGACCAAUUCUGACGCUGAGGAGCGAAAGCCAGGGGAGCAAACGGG
rnacentral:rRNA from 1 species